rnacentral:rRNA from 1 species
UACGGAGGGUGCAAGCGUUAAUCGGAAUUACUGGGCGUAAAGCGCAUGUAGGCUGCUUUAUAAGUCAGGGGUGAAAGCCCACAGCUUAACUGUGGAACUGCCUUUGAUACUGUAGAGCUUGAGUCUGUGAGAGGGUAGUGGAAUUCCAGGUGUAGGGGUGAAAUCCGUAGAGAUCUGGAGGAACAUCAGUGGCGAAGGCGACUACCUGGUGCAGUACUGACGCUGAGAUGCGAAAGCGUGGGGAUCAAACAGG